UACGAAGGGGGCUAGCGUUGCUCGGAAUUACUGGGCGUAAAGGGCGCGUAGGCGGACAGUUUAGUCAGAGGUGAAAGCCCAGGGCUCAACCUUGGAAUUGCCUUUGAUACUGGCUGUCUUGAGUUCGGGAGAGGUGAGUGGAACUCCGAGUGUAGAGGUGAAAUUCGUAGAUAUUCGGAAGAACACCAGUGGCGAAGGCGACUCACUGGCCCGAUACUGACGCUGAGGCGCGAAAAGCGUGGGGGAGCAAACAGG
rnacentral:rRNA from 1 species